rnacentral:lncRNA from 1 species
AAGCUCCACGCCCUGGCAGACAAGGUUGACAAGGUGCACAGGGACUGCACCAUCUCACAGGUGGUGGCCACCUCCAGCAGUGCUGUGUCUGGAGUCCUCACAAUCCUUGGCCUGGCUCUGGCACCUGUGACAGCAGGAGUCAGUCUGGCACUGUCAGCCACUGGGCAUGGGGCUGGGAGCAGCAGCGACUGUGACUAGUGUUUCCACAAUCAUUGUGGAAAAAGUAAUCGUGGUGUCUGCUGAAGCUAAAGCCAGCAAGCUGGUGCCAACCAAAGACACGAUGAACGGCAUGAAAGAAGUUUUGGAGCAGAGUGGCCCCAGAAUUGUUUCCAUAUCCAAAAAUUUGAUAAACUUUAAGGAUAACAUUCAAGCCAUCAAACUGAUCAAAGCCAAUCCUCACCUAGCAACUAAUGCCAAGUUUCUCAUGACCGCAGGGAAGACAUCAACCCAAACCACUAGACAGGUGAAGGAAGUCUUUGGAGGUACAGCUCUGGCAAUGACCAAAGGAGCCCGGAUCAUGGGUGCAGCCACUGCAGGUGUUUUCCUCAUGAUAGAUGUGGUCAGGCUUGUGAAACACUCGAAGCAUUUGCAUGAGGGAGCUAAGUCAGUGUCAGCUGCAGAGCUGCGACAGCAGGCUCGGGACCUGGAGCAGAAGCUGCAGGAGCUCAACCAGGUUCACGACAGCCUGAUUCAGUGACCGCUUCCCCUUCAGUGCAGCUCAGAGGACUGGGAGGGAGUGUGGUGGACAGAGCCGUGAACACAUGAGAGGCCCUUUUAGUCUCCAUACUGCCUUGCAGUUCAGCCAAGUGGGCCAUCACAGUGACCAUUCUUUUCUCUCUGACUCCUUCAGAGCUACACUAGGACAAAAUGUAGAAGCUUUCUUAAGAACCCUGGAAACUUUGCAGGUGGAUUCAUAGAAUUGAUCAUUUCUUCCUCCAUCACUGGUGGCAGCCUCGUUCCAUUGCCACCCAGAAGACGGUGAAGGAAAGAAUAAAUACAAAGCCAAGGGAAGUGGCUGUCCCAUCACCCACUCAGAGGGUACUGUGUACAGGCUGACAGCCAUGCCAUGCCCAAAGAGGCCUCGAGUGGGAUAACAGUUGUGAGAUCCUCAGGAAACAGAUCCAAGCAUCGAUCGCCUGAUCAGCUCAGGGCAGGAUGCUGUGUGUAGACACAAACAUCAAAUGGCCUUAGAACUCAUGGAAUAUGGGCCACCUGAUAGCACAACCAGGAUUGGUGUGCCCUGGAGAAGCAGAGCCCUGAGGACUACGCGUCCUGAGGACUUCUUGCUGUUUUCCCAGUCUCCAUGUCCUUCCUAAUCCCUGUGAUGUGUGAAGAGUCUAAUGGGGCUUGCAGCCCCUCAGUGAGCAGGAUCAUGGGCACACAAUAAUAGGGUUUGACCUUUUUCCAGCAUUGCUGCUGGAGCAGAUUAAUGAUUUGCUCGCCACCCUGGGAAAGAACUUUGAAAUGUAGGUUAUUAGCAGUGACCACCACACUUACAAAGAACUUGGAGAUGGGGAAAUUAGGUUAAGAUGUUUUUUGCUAGUGGCUCUGAUGUAAAAAUUCUAGAAUACAGUUUGAAGUUCAGAAAGGCACCCUCUUAAUAGCUGAGUUAGGGAUAUUUUAUGGUCAGGGAACAUGAACAAUAAAAGGCUGCUGUGAGAUGCCACUCUUGCUGUAACAGGGCUUGUGAUCAAGGUGAUGAUUGAUUUCUUAUACCCAUUUUUGCCCUCAACUUCCUGAUGCAAUCUAAUAAAAAAUUGAUGAGUAGAUUAUUCAUGCACUCUGAGAAUUUAAGAUAGAAAUGACUGAUUUUUAAUAUAAAUGUUUAGAUUUGUGGCUCUGUCAAGAUUUUUAUAAGACUGCCUUUUAAGAUAAAUAACAAAGUAAUUGUUUCUUUCUAACUGCAGAUUGUAGCCUUCCAGGAAAAAACAAAGGGCCUGAGAAAAUGAUCUUGCUUGCUUACACUUUGUUAAGCUAUAAAAAGUUACUUAGUUACAAAUGUUGUGGGUUGUUGGGAAUAAUUUGCUUUUUCUUCACCUGUGAUAUGUAAAAUGUUUUUUAUGAAAAAGGGAUAUACUGUUUCUUUGUAAUCAUUUGCUUAAAGAUUAAUAGAAUAUAGUCACAUUGUAAUUUUUAUGCUGCUUGAAAGAGUUUGCUUGGAUAUAUAAGAUGUGGAAGAAAAAUAAACUGUUGGAGCUUGUUUAGCUUCACAACUC